rnacentral:rRNA from 1 species
GUAGUCCACACCGUAAACGAUGAAUACUAGGUGUAGGUUAUGUCAUGUAAUCUGUGCCGUCGCAAACGCAAUAAGUAUUCCACCUGGGGAGUACGGCCGCAAGGUUGAAACUCGAAGGAAUUGACGGGGGCCCGCACAAGCAGUGGAGUAUGUGGUUUAAUUCGAAGCAACGCGAAGAACCUUACCAGGGCUUGACAUAUGCAGGAAUAUUCUAGAGAUAGAAUAGCUCUUCGGAGUCUGCAUACAGGUGGUGCAUGGUUGUCGUCAGCUCGUGUCGUGAGAUGUUGGGUUAAGUCCCGCAACGAGCGCAACCCCUGCUUUUAGUUGCCAGCACGUAAUGGUGGGAACUCUAGAAGGACUGCCGGUGAUAAAUCGGAGGAAGGUGGGGACGACGUCAAAUCAUCAUGCCCUUUAUGUCCUGGGCUACACACGUACUACAAUGGCUGUAACAGAGGGAAGCAAGAUAGUGAUAUUAAGCAAAACCCAAAAAGCAGUCUCAGUUCGGAUUGAAGGCUGAAAUUCGCCUUCAUGAAGCCGGAAUUGCUAGUAAUGGCAGGUCAGCAUACUGCCGUGAAUACGUUCCCGGGCCUUGUACACACCGCCCGUCACACCAUGAGAGUUGGGGAUACCCGAAGCCUGUGAGCUAACAGUAAUGGAGCAGCAGUCGAAGGUAGAAUCAAUGAUUGGGGUGAAGUCGUAACAAGGUAGCCGUAUCGGAAGGUGCGGCUGGAUCACCUC